rnacentral:rRNA from 1 species
GUCCACACUGUAAACGAUGGAUACUAGGUGUGGGAGGUAUCGACCCCUUCCGUGCCGGAGUUAACACAAUAAGUAUCCCACCUGGGGAGUACGACCGCAAGGUUGAAACUCAAAGGAAUUGACGGGGCCCGCACAAGCAGUGGAGUAUGUGGUUUAAUUCGAAGCAACGCGAAGAACCUUACCAGGGCUUGACAUCCCAAUGACCGCUCUAGAGAUAGAGCUUCUCUUCGGAGCAUUGGUGACAGGUGGUGCAUGGUUGUCGU